GAUGAAUGCUGGCUGUGUGCCUAAUACAUGCAUGUCGAGCGGAACGCUUGCGUUCAGCGGCAAAUGGGUGAGUAAUGCGUACCUAAUCUGCCUUUUAGUUUGGGAUAACAAUUGGAAACGAUUGCUAAUACCGAAUAUUCUUGGAAUCGCAUGAUUCUGUAGUGAAAGGGGCGUUUGCCUCGCUAGAAGAUGAGGGUGCGUUACAUUAGUUAGUUGGUAAGGUAAUGGCUUACCAAGACGAUGAUGUAUAGCGGGGUUGAGAAGCUGAUCCGCCACACUGGGACUGAGAUACGGCCCAGACUCCUACGGGAGGCAGCAGUAGGGAAUAUUCCACAAUGAGCGAAAGCUUGAUGGAGCGACACAGCGUGCAGGAUGAAGGCCUGGUUGUAAACUGCUGUAUAGGGAUGACACUAGUGUAGGAAUGACGCUAGCCUGAC
rnacentral:rRNA from 1 species